rnacentral:rRNA from 1 species
AGAGUUUGAUCAUGGCUCAGAUUGAACGCUGGCGGCAGGCCUAACACAUGCAAGUCGAACGGUAACAUUUCUAGCUUGCUAGAAGAUGACGAGUGGCGGACGGGUGAGUAAUACUUAGGAAUAUGCCUUUGUGUGGGGGAUAACCAUUGGAAACGAUGGCUAAUACCGCAUAACGUCUUCGGACCAAAGGGGGCUUCGGCUCCCGCGCAAAGAGUAGCCUAAGCGAGAUUAGCUUGUUGGUGAGGUAAAGGCUCACCAAGGCGACGAUCUCUAGCUGUUCUGAGAGGAAGAUCAGCCACACUGGAACUGAGACACGGUCCAGACUCCUACGGGAGGCAGCAGUGGGGAAUAUUGCACAAUGGGGGAAACCCUGAUGCAGCCAUGCCGCGUGUGUGAAGAAGGCCUUCGGGUUGUAAAGCACUUUCAGUUGUGAGGAAAGGUUAACGGCUAAUACCCGUUAGCUGUGACGUUAGCAACAGAAGAAGGACCGGCUAACUCCGUGCCAGCAGCCGCGGUAAUACGGAGGGUCCGAGCGUUAAUCGGAAUUACUGGGCGUAAAGCGCACGCAGGCGGUUUGUUAAGCUAGAUGUGAAAGCCCUGGGCUCAACCUGGGAAUUGCAUUUAGAACUGGCAGGCUAGAGUUUUGGAGAGGGGAGUGGAAUUCCAGGUGUAGCGGUGAAAUGCGUAGAUAUCUGGAGGAACAUCAGUGGCGAAGGCGACUCCCUGGUCAGUAACUGACGCUCAUGUGCGAAAGUGUGGGUAGCGAACAGGAUUAGAUACCCUGGUAGUCCACACCGUAAACGCUGUCUACUAGCUGUUUGUGGAUUUAAUCCGUGAGUAGCGAAGCUAACGCGAUAAGUAGACCGCCUGGGGAGUACGGCCGCAAGGUUAAAACUCAAAUGAAUUGACGGGGGCCCGCACAAGCGGUGGAGCAUGUGGUUUAAUUCGACGCAACGCGAAGAACCUUACCUGGCCUUGACAUGCAGAGAACUUUCCAGAGAUGGAUUGGUGCCUUCGGGAACUCUGACACAGGUGCUGCAUGGCUGUCGUCAGCUCGUGUCGUGAGAUGUUGGGUUAA